rnacentral:lncRNA from 1 species
GGGUAGUAUAGCUAUUUUGGGGGUAGAAGAGCAUCUUAGGGCUUUAUAGAAGGGUACUUUAGUGUAGAUAUUAGCACAAUAAAGGUAUUUACUUGUUGAGCAGGUCAAAAAUAAAGGGACCAAACUGAAAAUAGAAAAGGACUAAAAAAGAAAUCAAAUAAUCUAAUUUACCCCCGUCUUGUUGGCUAUAAAAGGGCAUAAAAUGCCUUGGGAAAAAGUUCUUCAAUUUUUCAGCCCAAAAAAAUCCCACCAAAAAGCUUUUCUUCUUUUACUAAAAUUCAGAUUAGAAAUCUGAAUUCGAAAUAGAAAAUACAUAAAAAAUUAAGAACAGAAAACCAAAAAAAAAAUCACUGUUUCAUAGCAUUUUCAGUCGACCUUCAAUUUCUGCCUUUGUGUUUUUCAGUUCUAUUCUAUAUUUGAGUGUUUGGGCAGCAUCAGGGGAAUUUGAGUUUGUUUGGUUAAAGCAUUGGUCGUCUAAACUCAACAGCUGAAGAAAUCUGCUAGUUUUUGGUAUAAUUUCAACAAUACUCGAGUGUGUUCCAACAGUUUGUGGUAGUUUGCUUGGUUGUGGCCUGAUUUCAAAGCUAUUCAUGGUUGUUUGAGCUAAGAUCUAGUUGUUGAUUUCUGUUCGUGUGGGCUGAUGCUAACUGACUUUGCUUCUUCUUAAUUCUGAAAUUCCACAUUCGCAACUACAGUGAUGUAACCACACUCUGACUGAAAUGCCAUUGUAUUGAUUAAUCUGUGUUCGUCUAGUUAAGUAUAUGAUGGUAAUUAUUCAGUUGAUGAGUAGUAAUGUACAUUUGACCUGUUGGAUUGGAUUUAUAAAUAGGACUAUUAAGUAGACUGAUUUAAUUGUAUUAAUUUGAGCCCUGAACUUGAGUUGAUUAGUUUGUUAACUUUGAGUGUUGGAGCUUCAGAAAGUACAAUUGAACUUUUAGCUAAGGAUUAAUUGUUGGGGGAAUUCAUACACGCUAUUCUGUUUGGAUCUCAGUGUAGAAGUGGCUCUGAUAACAUUAAAUUGAAUCUGUUUUGGAAUAUUUGCUCAUCUAAGAAUGCAUAUCAUCAAUGUGCUCAUACGUACAGUGUAAUGAAGCCACUAGUAGCAUAGUGAAUAAAAUAUGCGCAGAAUAGGAAUCAAUU